GCUCUAGUGGUUCAGUGGUAGAAUUCUCACCUUCCAUGCAGGAGACCUGGGUUCAAUUCCCAGCCACCGUA
rnacentral:tRNA from 1 species